UUUUGCUUUGAUGAUGUUUAAUAAUCCCAGCUCGAUGAGAUCUUUUGUAGGUCGGGGAAUAGUCUUAUUCAUUAAAUAUCUGAGCUUAAAG